UGAGGAAUAUUGGUCAAUGGGCGCGAGCCUGAACCAGCCAAGUAGCGUGAAGGAUGACUGCCCUACGGGUUGUAAACUUCUUUUAUAAAGGAAUAAAGUGAGGCACGUGUGCCUUUUUGUAUGUACUUUAUGAAUAAGGAUCGGCUAACUCCGUGCCAGCAGCCGCGGUAAUACGGAGGAUCCGAGCGUUAUCCGGAUUUAUUGGGUUUAAAGGGAGCGUAGAUGGAUGUUUAAGUCAGUUGUGAAAGUUUGCGGCUCAACCGUAAAAUUGCAGUUGAUACGGGAUAUCUUGAGUGCAGUUGAGGCAGGCGGAAUUCGUGGUGUAGCGGUGAAAUGCUUAGAUAUCACGAAGAACUCCGAUUGCGAAGGCAGCCUGCUAAGCUGCAACUGACAUUGAGGCUCGAAAGUGUGGGUAUCAAACAGG
rnacentral:rRNA from 1 species